rnacentral:misc_RNA from 1 species
UGGAUCCGUCUUUUCUGAACCUCCCGGGGUUGGGUUCAUUUUGAUGGUUGCCUGUGUGGCUCUAUCAUCCUGUGGGAAUGCAACUAACUCGUCCCGUUACGGGAAGUGCUUAUGCUAUAGCGCUCCGAUGUUUUGCCGUCUGAUAAACGGCGGCAGAAGUGGCUGAGGCGGAUCCUUGCGUUGCUGUGGGAUGUCCCACCAACGCUUAAGGAUGUCGCUUGCUCUCAUGUAUGCUGUGUGCUAUGAGCGAUCUGUUGGCCGCUGGCCCGCAGUUUGCUCGAAGGAGGUAUCGUGUGCUAGCUCAUUUGCUCUGCUCCUCCGCUCUCCUGUUGCUUGUCUCGGGAUGUUGUGACGGGGCAGAGCUGCUUGCGGAGCGUGAUACGGUGCACGUGAGAUUUUCUCUCUGUUCGCUCGAGCGAUAGCCGCCGCACAUCAUGUGCGCGACCUCCCAUAGCGGGGGUUGCUGAAAUGAUGUGCCGGCUCUUGCUUAGGGCGUGCUACCUGG